rnacentral:rRNA from 1 species
UACGAAGGGGGCUAGCGUUGCUCGGAAUUACUGGGCGUAAAGCGUGCGCAGGCGGUUGUGCAAGACAGAUGUGAAAUCCCCGGGCUUAGCCUGGGAACUGCAUUUGUGACUGCACGGCUAGAGUGUGUCAGAGGGGGGUAGAAUUCCACGUGUAGCAGUGAAAUGCGUAGAUAUGUGGAGGAAUACCGAUGGCGAAGGCAGCCCCCUGGGAUAACACUGACGCUCAUGCACGAAAGCGUGGGGAGCAAACAGG